UCUCUUCAGAGGCACAUAUAUUUUAUAUAAAUAGAAACAAUACGGGGAAGAUCAGCACAACCCCUGCACGAGGAUGACAGGAAAUCUAUGAAGCAUCCCCUAUUUAA
rnacentral:snRNA from 1 species